rnacentral:rRNA from 1 species
CAGUAGCCGCGGGAAUACGUAGGUGGCAAGCGUUGUCCGGAUUUAUUGGGCGUAAAGCGAGCGCAGGCGGUCAAUUAAGUCUGAUGUGAAAGCCCCCGGCUCAACCGGGGAGGGUCAUUGGAAACUGGUUGACUUGAGUGCAGAAGAGGAGAGUGGAAUUCCAUGUGUAGCGGUGAAAUGCGUAGAUAUAUGGAGGAACACCAGUGGCGAAGGCGACUCUCUGGUCUGUAACUGACGCUGAGGCUCGAAAGCGUGGGUAGCAAACAGGAUUAGAUACCCGCGUAGUCCCUGUCUCUUAUAC